GAGUUUGAUCCUGGCUCAGAGCGAACGCUAGCGGCCGCUUAACACAUGCAAGUCGAACGAAAAUGUUUACUUCGGUGAACGUUUUAGUGGCGAACGGGUGAGUAAUACAUAGAAAUCUGCCCUUUUGAGAGGGAUAUCCAUGAGAAAUUGUGAUUAAUACCUCAUAAGCUCGGAAGAGGAAAGGCCGCAAGGCCGCUGAAGGAGGAGUCUAUGUCGGAUUAGAUAGUUGGUGGGGUAAUGGCCUACCAAGUCGAUGAUCCGUAGCUGGUCUGAGAGGAUGAUCAGCCACACUGGGACUGAGAUACCGGCCCAACUUCUACGGAAGGCAGCAGUGAGGAAUAUUGGACAAUGGGGGAACCCUGAUCCACGAUGUCGCGUGAAUGAAGAAGGCCUUUUGGUUGUAAAGUUCUUUCGUCUGCGAAGAUAAUGACGGUAGCAGAAAAAGAAGCUCCGGUAACUCCGUGCCAGCAGCCGCGGUAAGACGGAGGGAGCAAGCGUUGCUCGGAAUAAUUGGGCGUAAAGGGUGCGUAGGUGGUUUUUUAAGUAAAUGUUAAAGGCUUGGACUUAAUCUUGAGUAAGGCAUUUUAACUGGAAAACUUUGAGUUGGGAAGAGGAAACAAGGAAUUCCUCAGGUAGAGGGAAAUUCUAGAUUGAGGGGACCCCCG
rnacentral:rRNA from 1 species